GAGGCACAAAUCCAUACGAGGAGGUAAAAGACAUAAUUAAGAAGAAAGGCAACACCGCCACAGUGGUAAAGCAGAGAGAAAAAGCGUGGCAAAGUAUUGCAGACCGCCUGAAUGCAUUAAAUAUGACCGGGCCAAAACGGACAUGGCAGCAGGUCAAAAUCAAAAUCUGCAGAAUGCAGUGAAAAAGAAUACCCAGAGACAAGGCACGGGUGGUGGGUCACCAAAAGCUGACCUCAUCCCAGCAGAGGCCAGCUUUGGAGCUAAAUAAAGGCAGGCCUGUUGGAGGGAAUCCCUGGGGGAAAAAAGACAAGCAUAGGUCCCUCACAAGAUGCCACCCGCUUCAUACAAGUGUCUGGCAGCACUGUGUUACUGUUAAAGCCACCAGCACGAGCACCUGACGAUGCUGAUCCAGCCCCAUUUCAUCAGCACAUAACGGCGAUGAUGAUGAGGAGACCAUCUCUCUGGAUUCCAAAAGGCAUAAGGACCCAGAGUCAUUGGUGCACUGGACUGCACAAACAUAAGGAUAAAAGCCCCCUCAGGUGCCCAUGAGGCAGAUUUUGUAAAUAUGAAAUCUUUUUGAUCUUUUCCAUUGAACACUGGCAAAAUGGCCUGGCUCAGUCCAUGACUA